UCUAAUAGAGUUUAAUACAAAACUGUGAUACUGAAAAGUAAAAAACAAAAAAAAAAACAAACAAAAAAAAAAAGUAAAAAAGUAAAAUGUAACAAGAAUGCGAAUAAACAAAUGUUUUAUCUAUGAAAGAAGAGUACAUAACUCCGGAAAAAUUAAUCAUACGCAAAACGAGUCUUAUUAAAAACCAAAUGUUUACCAAACCCUGAUCUUGAUAUAAAACAUACCCUAACACUUAGAGUCAGGGUUAGAGUAUGGAUUUCAAUAACAGUUAUUUCGCGUGACUCGUUUUUCACGGGCUUAUAAAGGGGGUUGCCUAAAAUACACGUUCGCCCAAACUUUUAAUUUACUUUUUUACUUUAACUUUUAUUAAAUUUUAAAAUUUUUAUCUGAAAAAUUUUUAAAAUUACCAUUAGUUGUUUUGUUCAAAUAUUUUUCGUCACUAUUAUUUCUGACCUUUGCUUUGUUAUUAUGGUUGUUAAUAUACUCACGGUUUAUUUUAGGUGCAACACGCAACUAUAUGGCUGUUUAAAAAAUUUAUUGCAAAACAAUUUUGCUUAUCACAUUUUCUAACAUAAUGGUGAAAACUGUUAGCAAAUAAAAAAAUUGAAUUAUAAAUCCGGAAAACAAGCAAACUCCAUCAAAUUAAAAAAACUCUCAGAUAUUACUACUAAAAUUAUUUUUAUGUUUGUUUUAGUAUAGCCCACAUAGGAAAUUAAGAUUUUUACGUUCAAAAUUGCAUUAUCGUGUUAAUCGUGUUUGUUUACGCAUUUAUUGGGUGCACUCGAUGACAAAAGGUUUUGGUUAAAAAGGUUAAAAAACAGAUGCAUCUCAAAAAUAUAAAAAAAAUAACCUGCAUAAUCGGCACUUAAAAGGUUGAGAUGCUAAAUCUAAAUGACAACAAGGAUAGUCAGGAUAUUCUGAACGUGAUUGAGCAUCGAAAUGAGCGUGAUAAUGACCAAAAGGUUUGUAUCUUACAACCUGUAAUGGUUCUCCACCAGCUAUGAUAUAUGCAGGAAGAUUCGUUAGUUUUGUUACCCUGAUGAAAAAAGUAAUAUAUGCAAAUAAAGUCUAAACUUA